rnacentral:rRNA from 1 species
UACAGGGGGUGCAAACGUUGCUCGGAAUUACUGGGCGUAAAGCGUGCGCAGGCGGUUUUGUAAGCCAGAUGUGAAAUCCCCGGGCUUAACCUGGGAAUGGCAUUUGGGACUGCAAGGCUGGAGUGUGGCAGAGGAGACUGGAAUUCCUGGUGUAGCAGUGAAAUGCGUAGAUAUCAGGAGGAAUACCGAUGGCGAAGGCAGGUCUCUGGGCUAACACUGACGCUCAUGCACGAAAGCGUGGGGAGCAAACAGG